GCUCCCUAGGACCGCUAUGGUGCUGAAGGCGCUGCAGUCUACUUUGGUGAGUGGUUGUUUAGUAUUUGUUUUGUCGUUUCUUCUUCACAGAAGAAUGCAGCAAAGAAAACCAAAAAGUUAUGUAUCUUAAGAAAACAAUAUGGAAAAAGCUAUUACAGCAGUAAGGGAAAUGUUUGUGGGAACAUUUAAAGCUACAAGAAUGUUCAAAAUAACACACACACAGCAUUAUACACCUUUCCAAAACAAAACACACCAACACAAACAGUUUUAGAAGAUUCAGUAGAGGAGUAGCUGAUGAAGUUCUUUACUUGGGAUAAAUAUUUACACCAAGGUACUGUCUAAUGAAACAUUAUUAGUUAAUUUUGUAUUAACACACAGUAUUCUGUUGAUAGGACAGUGACAUCUUCAUUUCUUUAUGAUAUAUUACUGUACACUGAUAUGAAUAAAUGUAAUAUUGAAAUUAA